rnacentral:rRNA from 1 species
UACGGAGGGUGCGAGCGUUAAUCGGAAUUACUGGGCGUAAAGCGCACGCAGGCGGUUUGUUAAGCUAGAUGUGAAAGCCCCGGGCUCAACCUGGGAUGGUCAUUUAGAACUGGCAGACUAGAGUCUUGGAGAGGGGAGUGGAAUUCCAGGUGUAGCGGUGAAAAGCGUAGAUAUCUGGAGGAACAUCAGUGGCGAAGGCGACUCCCUGGCCAAAGACUGACGCUCAUGUGCGAAAGUGUGGGUAGCGAACAGG